rnacentral:rRNA from 1 species
UCUGGUAUGAAAGGUUUGACGAGAUAUUAACUGUUUCAUAAAAAUUUAUAAUAGAAUUUUAUUUUUUAGUCAAAAAGCUAAAAUAAUAUUAAAAGACGAGAAGACCCUAUAAAUCUUUAUACAUAGAUUAUUAGAAUUUCAUAGAUUUUUUUUGUUAUAAUAAUUAAUUGUAUUUUAUUGGGGUGAUAUUAAAAUUUAAUAAACUUUUAAUUUUAAAAAUCAUUAAUUUAUGAAUAAUUGAUCCGUUAAUAACGAUUAGAAAAAUAAGUUACCUUAGGGAUAACAGCGA